rnacentral:rRNA from 1 species
CGGUGUUCAACUGGCGUGUCCGCGGGACGUCCUGCCGGUGGGCUUAGCCCGCAAGGGCGGCCCAACUUCAAAUCCCAUCGCGGUGCUCUUCACUGAGUGUCGAGGUGGGCCGGUACGUUUACUUUGAACAAAUUAGAGUGCUUAAAGCAGGCUAAAACUUCGCCUGAAUACUGUGUGCAUGGAAUAAUGGAAUAGGACCUCGGUUCUAUUUUGUUGGUUUUCGGAACCCCGAGGUAAUGAUUAAUAGGAACGGAUGGGGGCAUUCGUAUUGCGACGUUAGAGGUGAAAUUCUUGGAUCGUCGCAAGACGGACAGAAGCGAAAGCAUUUGCCAAAAACGCUUUCAUUGAUCAAGAACGAAAGUUAGAGGUUCGAAGGCGAUCAGAUACCGCCCUAGUUCUAACCAUAAACGAUGCCAGCUAGCGAUCCGUCGACGUUCCUCCGAUGACUCGACGGGCAGCUUCCGGGAAACCAAAGCUUUUGGGUUCCGGGGGAAGUAUGGUUGCAAAGCUGAAACUUAAAGGAAUUGACGGAAGGGCACCACCAGGAGUGGAGCCUGCGGCUUAAUUUGACUCAACACGGGAAACCUCACCAGGCCCGGACACCGGAAGGAUUGACAGAUUGAGAGCUCUUUCUUGAUUCGGUGGGUGGUGGUGCAUGGCCGUUCUUAGUUGGUGGAGCGAUUUGUCUGGUUAAUUCCGAUAACGAACGAGACUCUAGCCUGCUAACUAGGCGUAUUUUCGACAUCUCAAAGGUCCGUCGUCCCGGCCCUCGGGUCGUGGGCGUGCGCGAUUUUUACUGUCGGCGUACUAUCAAUUCUUCUUAGAGGGACAGGUGGCUUCUAGCCGCACGAGAUUGAGCAAUAACAGGUCUGUGAUG